rnacentral:rRNA from 1 species
UACGUAGGGUGCAAGCGUUAAUCGGAAUUACUGGGCGUAAAGCGUGCGCAGGCGGUGAUGUAAGACAGGUGUGAAAUCCCCGGGCUUAACCUGGGAACUGCAUUUGUGACUGCAUCGCUGGAGUGCGGCAGAGGGGGGAUGGAAUUCCGCGUGUAGCAGUGAAAUGCGUAGAUAUGCGGAGGAACACCGAUGGCGAAGGCAAUCCCCUGGGCCUGCACUGAC